CAAUGGCUCUAAAUAGCCAGAAAACGGCACUUUCAAUUUUUCCAUCCUACAAGAUCUAGAUAAUUCUUGUCGUAAAAUGGGCAAAUGGUCUGAGGUGCCUAACGUCCAGGCAUUCUUUUACAUAUCAGUCCCUCCCCUCUGUUCCCAAUGCAACUCAUCCCAAAUCUUCCUUCUUUCCCUUCCGCCUGUCCCCUCAGUCCCAACCCCAAGCAUUGCUGGGUCUUUCUAAUCUUCCUUUUCUACAGACCCAUCUGACCUCUCCCCUCCUCGCCAGGCCGAGCUAGGUCCCAAUUCUUCCUCAGCCUCGGCUCCUCCACCCUAUAAUCCUUUUAUCACCUCCCCUCCUCACACCCAGUCCAGCUUACAGUUUCAUUCCGCAACUAGCCGUCUCCCACCUGCCCAGCAAUUUCCUCUUAAAAAGGUGGCUGGAGCUAAAGGCAUAGUCAAGGUUGAUGCUCCUUUUUCUUUAUCCGACCUCUCCCAAAUCAGUUAGCGUUUAGGCUCUUUCAUCAAAUAUAAAAACCCAGCCCAGCUCACGGCUCAUUUGGCAGCAGCCCUGAGACGCUUUACAGCCCUAGACCCUGAAAGGUCAAAAGGCCGUCUUAUUCUCAAUAUACAUUUUAUUUUUUACCCAAUCUGCUCCCGACAUUAAAUAAAUCUCCAAAAAUUAAAUUCCAGCCCUCAAACCCCACAACAGGACUUAAUUAACCUCACCUUCAAGGUGAACAAUAAUAGAGUAGCAGCAGCCAAGUAGCAACAUAUUUCUGUGUUGCAAUUCCUUGCCUCCACUGUGAGCCAAACCCCAGCCACAUCUCCAGCACACAAGAACUUCCAAACGCCUGACGGCAGCUGCAAGGCGUUCCUCCAGAACCUCCUCCCACAAGAGCUUGCUACAAGUGCAAGAAAUCUGGCCACUGGGUCAAGGAAUGCCCACAGCCCAGGAUUCCUCCCAAGCUGUGUCCCAUCUGUGCCACUGAAAAUCGGACUGUUCAACUCACCUAGCAGCCACUCCCAGAGGCCCUGGAACUCUGGCCCAAGGCUCUCUGACUCCUUCCCAGAUCUUCUCGGCUUAGCAGCUGAAGACUGAGACUGCCCGAUUGCCUCGAAAGCCUACAGGACCAUCACAGACUCUCUGGGUAACUCACAGUGGAAGGUCUGGAGAAAUACAAUGAUCCUGAAGAAAACCUGAGCUUAUGUGAAGCAACUUUGUUUUCCUUUGACAAACUCCCAUUUCCAACACCAGAAUCCAACUGCAAGGAAAUGAAGCAUAAACAGCUGAAUUUAGAAAUCUUCUAAUUCUGAUUUUUUUAUUUUUGUUUUUGAGACAAAGUCUUGUCCUGUGGCCCAGGCUGGAGUGCAAUAGUGUGAUUAUAGCUCACUGCAGCCUCGAACUCCUGGUCUCAAGUGAUCCUCCCACCUCAGCCUCCCAAGUAGCUGGGACUACAGGCAAGAGUCACCAUGCCUAGCUACUUUUUUUUAUUUUUGUAAAGAUGGAAUCUUGCUAUGUUGCCCAGGCUGGUCUCCAACUCCUGGCCUAAACAAUCCUCCCACCUUAGCUUCCCAAAGUGCUGGAAUUAUAGACAUAAGCCACCAUUCCCAGCCUAAUUCAUAUUUUUAAGCAGGAAGCAUAGUCUACCUUAUAACUCCUAUGCUCUUCUUCCAAAACCUUUACCCUGUAGUUUAUGAACUGCGAUGAAGGACCAAGUAUAUCUCCAUUCUAACAGCACAUUAUAAUGUCCACACAAUAUAUAAAUAAAAGAAAAGCAGGCCGGUCACGGUGGCUCACACCUGUAAUUCCAGCACUUUCAGAAGCCAAAGUGGGUGGAUCACUUGAGGCCAGGAGUUGAAGACCAGCCUGGCCAAAAUGGUGAAACCCCGUCUCUACUAAAAAUAUAAAAAUUAGCCAAGUGAUGGUGGCACAUGCCUGUAAUUCCAGCUACUUGGGAGGCUGAGGCAGGAGAAUCACUUGAACCUGGGAGGCAGAGGUUGCAGUGAGCCAAGAUCAUGCCACUGCACUCCAGCCUGGACAACAGAGCGAGACUCCAUCUCAAAAAAAAUAAAAAGAAAAAAAGAAAGGCAAUGUGGUACCAUGCCUUAGGAUCGUACAUACGUCACCCAACUCGCUUACCUACUGUAAUGGACGUUUGUUGCUCUUGCUUGUACGGCACUCUUUUUCUAGAUCUUCCUUUGGACAACCGCCUCCUCCCUGCCUUCAUUCCUGUGGUUUGGUGAAGCUGACACUUCUCCCAGCUAUAGGGAGGGGCGUGAGCCACAGGCCAAAGUCAAUCAGUGCAUUCCAUCCACCAGCCCAGAGACUGAAUCAGCAAAGGUCCCAGAGCUCCACUUGGGCCAAUGGCAGUCAGGCCAAGGACUUUGUGGAACUGUUGCUCAGAGGACAGGUACUCACCUUGCACUGAAACUGGAGUGAUGGGAGUAUGAACCUGGGGCUACUAACAGCCAUCUUGCCCCAGAAGGAAGUACUUCCCUAAGUUUAAUGCCUACCCAGAGGAGGGCAGAGCAGAUAGACAAGAGACAGGGUUCUGGGGUCAACUGUGUCUGAAGUCAGAGACAUGAAAUAAAUUUCGUUUUUUGCUCAGCCCCUUGGAACACAGCAGUAGCUUUACACAAUGCUAUCUGCCCCUUGCAACAAAGCAGUAAUUUCACUACUUGAGGGAUGGAAAAGAUGUACCAUAAAAGACACAGAGGCGAUAGACAAAAGGGAAGUAAGAUUCAGGUCUUGCACAGAAACUGAGCCUUGAUUUUCCGCAGAAUAUACUGUGACCAAGCCUCCUGCAGGGCUGCCUGUACGUUAAAGAAAUGGAAGCGUCUUGAAUCGUGUCCAUCGUCCCUCCUUUACACAAAGUAAUCACCUCCAGCUGGGCCAAGUUGAUUGAGGAAACGUUCAGUUUUCACAUGAUUUUGCUGUAGCACCAUAAUGAAUGUAUUUCUUUGAUGGAAGAAAGAAGCUUCAUGAAAUAAACUGCUUAAGGAUUUGAAGUUGGAGCUGAAAACAUGGGCUGCUUUGUUCUUAAUGACAACUGCUUUGCCAUCUAAAACAUUUCUCCUUUUUGAAGGAUCUGUCUUUUCUCUUCCAGCCACAACCCUCGAGCUACAAUAACAGGCUCAUGAUUUUUUUAGAUGCCAAGGUUAUGAAUACUCUUUUAUGAAUAUUUUCCUUUGAACUCAUUUCUCUUGAAGAAGAAAAAUAGCCCUACAUAUUGCAGGAUUGACAAUAACAGACAAAACGUACAAAUUGUUCUCUUAGGGGCAGUAAAAUGCUCCAAAAUGCACAUAGAAAAAUUCCAAAUGCAACCUGAUGUUUAUGGAGCACUGCCUUUGCAGCUAUAAUUUUUAGAAAGUAAUAUUUCUGACUGACAUGAAUUAUACAGAGCAUAUUUCAGAGACUAAUAUCAGGUUAAUGCCUUAAAAUGUCUCCGUUUAUGACAUCAUGGCUGCUUUUCCUAUAUCAGUGCAAACUCUUAGUGAGUAGAAUUUGAGGAUAUGUCUUUUCAAAGGAAGAAAACCUUCACUGAAUUAAGCUGCUUAUGGUUUUAUUUUUUCUUUUAUCCCAUUUCAACAUAUCCACCAACCUCCUCUAAAAAUAAUUCAACUAAUGUGAACUCAACAGAUUAUAGUAGAUCUCUUAUUAAUUUCAUUUUGCCUCCAAAGGAGCUUAUCAUUUAGGCUUAUAAUUAUGUAUGCAGUACUGUCGACUAAUGUUUAGGUUCCUCAUUAAAACUUCAUUUCAUUCUGUUUUAAUAUCAUCAGUCUGUUAGACCAUUUAUUUUCUCAUGUUAAAAAAUAUGUGUUUUCCCUGAACUCUUUCCAUAUGUUUUCUCUCAUCCAAAAAAUCCAGAAAACUCAGCUCCCUUUAAUCCUGCUUUGUGGCUUAGAUACUUUAGCCUGGAACCACUCGUGUUGAUUUGUAUAUACCCACACUUACGCAAAAAUAGCCUUCACUACGGCAGAGUAAUCAUUCUGCAUAGAAAUUAUGUGUCUCUGAAGCCUAUGUUGUCAGGUGAAUCGUGGCAGCAAUGACCUAAGAAUGCAUCCCCAGUUUGAAAUGACCUAUAAAAAUUUCAAGAUACAACUAUUGCUUUGCAUUUGGCAUCGGGAAUAUUCUGUAUAGUUCUUUUCAUGUAAAUGGGCAAUAUUCUAGAAUGGUUCCCAAGUAUAAGCUUUAGAGCUAGACUUCUUGGGUACAACUCCCACUAUUACCACUUACUAGUUAUGUAAUAUUGGAAAAUACACUUAACUACUCUGAGCAUCAUAAAGUAAGCUUACUAACA
rnacentral:lncRNA from 1 species